GACGAACGCUGGCGGCGUGCCUAAUACAUGCAAGUCGAGCGAGCUUGCCUAGAUGAUUUUAGUGCUUGCACUAAAUGAAACUAGAUACAAGCGAGCGGCGGACGGGUGAGUAACACGUGGGUAACCUGCCCAAGAGACUGGGAUAACACCUGGAAACAGAUGCUAAUACUGGAUAACAACACUAGACGCAUGUCUAGAGUUUGAAAGAUGGUUCUGCUAUCACUCUUGGAUGGACCUGCGGUGCAUUAGCUAGUUGGUAAGGUAACGGCUUACCAAGGCAAUGAUGCAUAGCCGAGUUGAGAGACUGAUCGGGCCACAUUGGGACCGAGACACGGCCCAAACUCCUACGGGAGGCAGCAGUAGGGAAUCUUCCACAAUGGACGAAAGUCUGAUGGGAGCAACGCCGCGUGAGUGAAAGGAGGGUUUCGGCUCGUAAAAGCUCUGUUGGUAGUGGAAAGAAAAGA
rnacentral:rRNA from 1 species